UAUCAAAUGCCUGAUUCUAUUUCUGUUAUUUUGUCAUUUCUGAUCUACUCAACAGCAGGCUGAACUCGCAGAGGGAAAAAUCCAGUUUUUCUUUUUCCCUUGGUAAAAUUUAAUCGGACCUGAUACAAAACUCAUUGCUCUUGGGGAAAAUAAAGUAGGAGCCACGAAAUGUAAUUUUAACAGAGCGUGGGUUUUGUGACUGUAGGAAAGGAUUUAAGGACGCUCCUUCUGUUCGGUUUCCUAUGUAAUGAGAAAAGGCUACCCGCACGCACAGACGCCACAGCUCCCGGAUGCUGUGGCUCACUCAUCUGGGCUUCUGCAGCGCCAGAAGCCCCUCCGGGAUGCUGCGAGGGGCUCUCGGUGGGUGGUGGUACAAACGCUGCGGCCGCUGCCGCCAGUCCUGCCGCUGCUGUUGUUGCUGCUGCAGUCACGUGGGAGGCCCUUUAAGUUUCCAUAGAGAGGCCUCUCCGGUGUCACAUGAUGGACAUGAUAUAAUGAAACAACAUUGUGGAGAGGAAAGCAUUAGGGGAGCCCACGGCUACAAAAACAAGUGAGUGAGAAGAGGUGGGAGGAAGAGAAACUACGCCACCUCCCCUGCAGCCGAGCUGCACGCAGCAGCAGCCCGCGGGAAGUGGGCGACGCCGGGGGGGAAGGGAGACCCGGUCCCCAGCCCCGGCCCGGGGACCCCGCUGCCCACCGCCAAGAGAACAACUUUUAGCCGGCAGCCUCGGCCAGCACUGCACCUGUCUCCGGAGCCUCCAUCGCUCCUCGUGAUGAUCAAAGGGGCAUUCUAGAAGAAUAUGUUCUACAAAUAUACAUGCGCAUCAUUUCCCCCCUUGCGUCUCGCUCCGGAGGAAGGAAAGAGAAAGGGAUUUAAGCAGCAGCGUGUGUUCAGCCCCAAGCUUGCCUUUCUUCAGAGAGAGUCUGAGGCAACUCUACAGCAAAAAUACAUAAAAUGAAAAAGCAUAUAACAGAAAAUCAGAACUAAGAUAAAGGUGUACAACAUAAUGAUUUGAUAUUUGCAUGUAUUGGGAAGUGAUCACAACACUGUCAUCUGAAUGCCCAAGAGAAUAGCUCCUGGUUGGCCAUGUGGACUCUUAGGUGGACUCUUCCCGUGAGGAGGAAUACCUGGAACUGCCUUGCUGGCGUGCUGUGUUUUCUUCUUAUGCUUUCUGAGUAGAUGGCUGCUACUUGUGGCCUUUGGAGCCGCUUGUUACUGAACCUCAGGACUGAAAAGACGUGAAGGAGCUAAAAACAGUUCUUGGCUGGUUAUGAUUACAGUAUGUGCACAUGUGAUCUGGACUGCUUUACGGAUGAGGCGACUUAGAAUGUACACCUGUCCUAAACCAGGGUGAAAAGAGUUGGGAUAUUUUAUCAUCUGGAGUUUCUCUGCCUCGCUGAUGAUCUAAGCUCAAACCUGCCAGUUUAUGGGAGAUGAUAGAAAACACCCUCGAACAUCUGAGUUGCAGAAAUAUGUGCCUCUAAGAACUCAGGAGGACCUACUUUGUGGGAGCAAAGGUAGUGAGUCAUACCUGCAAGCUUGGAAACGAGAGUUCACUUGUGCCUCUUCAUCCAGUCGGGACAUUUCCUCGGCAACCAUUUAUGCAGCAGUUAAAAGAUGAGGAGUUAAGAGCUGAUGCGUGCUGUGUCCAGGUCACUAUGGCAGGCACUGCAGAUACACAGGUAAGUACUCAUGACCCCUCCCUCAGAGGCCUCCCAGUCUAAAAGUAUGUACAGCUGGAUGAGGAUGUGCAGGAAGGAGGCGUGUGAGGGUACCUGGGUGAGGGGCCCGCUCUCAGCCUGUUUGGAGGAAGAGAGACAGCAUACGAUUCACAGAGGUUAUGUGGAAGCUGAGAUUUCAAGCCUGAAGGGGUGGCCUAGAAAUGAAAAAGCAUCCCAGGCAUGGUACUUGUGUGAGAGUCGUGAAACCACGUUUGGGGAAUGGCAUGCAGCCUGGCAUAGCUGUGGUGCUUGAUGCUGGGGAGGAGCAGGGUAGCAGGAUGAGGCUGUCUCAGCAGUGAUGGGAGCUCACCACUUUGCAAAAGAAAAAAGAAAGAAAAAUUGUUCUCUGGCUGAGAACUGUAUUUUGUUAGAAAGUGUUUCCUUGUAUUGUGCCAAGUCUGUCUCCUUUUCUGUUUUACCUUUGAGUUCAAGCCGCAGGAGCAGCCCAGAAUGAGCCUGCCUCCUCUUUGCCACCUGCCUUUAUGUGAGAAAAUGGAAAAAACGGAGGUACUUUUAAUGGAACAGAAUAAACCACUGAACAGGGAAGGAAGAAAGGAUGGAGUUUGAACUGAUUUGCUGGGAAUCAUGUUCAGAAUGGAUCCAGGAUAUUGAAGUGUAAAAGAGGUUUCCAUUCUCAACCUAUCUAGACCAGAUGGGAGCCCCCUCUUACGUGUACCAGUAGCAUCCUAUGCCUCUUUUAAAUCGUAAUUGCUAGCUUGGCGACGGAAGGAUGACGGCAUCCUGUUCACCGUUCAGCGCUUAGCCCAGUGCCUGGUAUUAUAGUGUACGGUAUGUACUGCGUGCUCAAUAAAUAUUUGCUGAAUGGAAUUAAUCAAAUGACUUGUAAAAAGAGUAUUCCAAAUAUUCUAUACUUCUUACCUUUAAUAAGCUGCCUUUAAAAUACAAAGCAUGCCUGUUAAAAAAUACAACAUGACAAACAAAACGUAACUGUGCUCCAGGGGUUUGUCUUUAAAUCCAGCAUCGCCGAGUGAGCCUGGGCAAGCUCUCCGGAUGUCGGUGUCUCUGGAGCAGCUCUGCCCGAGAGCCUUUGUCCAGUUCCAGAAUUCUUCAAUCCUCUGAUAACAGGGCGCAGUAAGGAUAGAGUACGUUUUUAAGACACUCAGGGUUUCCCUCAUAGUUAUGUUUUUUCCUGUUAGCUGGUGGGAAAAUGUCAUCUUGUUUCUUGGGCUUGCAGGUUCUUUCCUAGUCCUGGGGAAUUUUUCAAGCUGGCUAUAAUGAGAGGGUCUCAGAGAACCACAGAGAGGUCUGUGCCUUGAUUUUCCCACUGAGAAAAAUGAGGAGGCUGCGAUAUACCUGUGGACAGGAUCAGUAGCUUCACUUCUCAGCUCAGAACUUGCCAUGUCUCUUUCCGGCUCGGGAAGUAUGAUGCUCCGCACAGGUUGGUGGGGGACAGAGACGGCAGCGGUAAUAAGGGAUGGGGGCCCACGAGCUAGGGACUAAGUAGCCCAGAGUGAGCCUCCCGAAGUCUCGACCCCAUUUCAGUUUCCCUCGACUAAGAUAAGCUACCAGGGCUCGGCUCAUUGGAGGCUUACUUGAACCUCAGGUUAUAGCUGUAAGGCGGCACGUGGCGAAAAAAGAAUCCUAGCCUGGGAAAGUCAGAGAGCUUGGGUCCAGUUUCAGCUGUCAGUCAACUAUCUGUAUAACAUAGGAAAGUCUCUUAGCUUCUCUAAUUUCCUGAUUUAUAGAAUAAAUCUGAGAUUUAGUCUCAAUAAGGUAUGGUCUCGGCAAGUGGCAGAGCUAGGUUGUGCUAUGACUUUUUGGGGGAACAUUUCUUGGUAACUAGUUCAUCUUUCCUUAUUAAUCCAGUCAGCCAGUAUGAUACCAAGUUUAGGAAGAAUAUCACAGUAUCACGUAAUACUCCACCUUGGGGCGUUUCUGCUUCUUACCAUUCCGGACCGUUCCUAGUCUAUUUCAAGCUUCCCUUCUGAGAGUCUUCCGUCUUCCCUAAUAAUUUCUUCUCCAGCUACCUCUUGUGUUUAAGAAUUUAAAAAGAUGAGCCUAGUAAUCAGGAAACACUCAGAACUGAUGUUUGUCACCGACCUUGCCCUGCCACUUGCCUGGGGUAUGAAGUUUUUUAAAAAGCUGAAAUAAAGAUAUGAAAAGCAUUUUGAAAAAUGUGAAGCAUUAGGUGAUAAAAGUAAUAGUUAUGAGGUACAAAUACCUGCUGUCAACCAUGUUAGUUGUUUUUAUUGGUAUUAAUAAAUUAUUAUUUAUUAACAAAUUAAUAACAGAAAUUGCGUUGAGAAACAAAACAGUCACAGGCCAAACCUUUUGAAUUUCAAAUAUGUUUAUGUUAACAUACUCUGUUUUAGACAACCAGCACAGAGACUAUGGUCAAGUAGUUUUUAUAUGAUGAAGUCAUGUAUCCGUCAAUCCAUUACACUUUUUAAGGUGUUUUAAUGUUUAUCUCCCACUUUUUGGUUUCCAGAGUGAAAUAACCUCAGAUGAAAAUUUCUAUGGUGUUGAUGUUUUCCUCUUGAGAAUGUGUUUGCUGUAAUAAAAUACAGUAACCACUUGAAGUCUAUAAAACCUGUGUGAAGUCUGGAUAAACCUAAACAGUUUUUUCUUUGUGCUCCAGGAGCACACAGCACUAUAUAUUAAAUAAAGCACAAAUAUCUAUACAUAGCUGCAACUAUGUUUCGUUUCAUUACAAUUAUGUCUUGCCUGAUCUUCAAAUAACAUGAAAAAUGAACAUAAAGAUGAAAAUCAUCUUUAAAAUAAACCUUGAAUGGUUAUGAUCUUCAUAGAAAGAGUUUCUUUAUUAAUUAAACUUUUGUUUUUCAUAGUGCAUUGCUUUGAUCUCGUAAUAUUUUUUAAAACACCCUGAGGGCUUAUUUUCAAGGCUUCCAAAUGAAUUUUUAUUUCUUAAAAGCCGUAAUAUAUUCAUGGCUCAGUGAAUCCCAAAGGCAGUAUUUUUAAACUCCUGUUAAGUUUAUUUUUCUUAGCAUGCUAGUCUACUGCAUAAUUUUCUUUGCUCUAUGGGUCACGUGAUUCCUCCCGUCCAUAACACACGCACUUAAAAAUUUCACUUCCUGAUUGAGCCAUCAAGAUUAUGUAAAAUGUAAAUCAGUCCAAAUACCUAAGAGCAGGAAUUUUAAGGGAAAAAUGCUGUUUUCUUUUUCUGUUUCAUUAUUGAUGCCUAGAAAAUCAGAGUGUGUGUUUGCCUAUUUGUAUUUGGAAACUAGAGACUGUUAGGGUGGUUUUUUGUUUUUGUUUUUGUUUUUUCUUUUGUCCCUUCCCUUUCAGAUUGCAUCAGAGUUUGCUUUCAUUAUAAAAAUAAAGUACCAAGUAGAUAGAACGUAGCAGUGGUGUAGUUGCAGGACUGGAAUCAAAAUGGUUCCGAUUACUGAGAGAGCUGUUCAUUUACUUAUUCUUUUCAUGAUCUGAAUGGAGAGUGCAGCAUCUCUCAAAAGGUAACGAUUUGAUAUUUCAGAGUUGUAAAUGGCCAUUUAACCUUUCUGCUGCCUGAUAUAAAUGAAAGUAAUUUCUAGCAGGCUGGAUGACACUUGGUUUAUCAUGAAUCUAAAAAUCCCUCACAUUUUCUCAAGGCAAUUUUGAAGUUGUCAUAGUAACGGCAUGAUAUUUGGAGGGUCUUUUUAGUAGUUCUUUAGCUAGAGUUAAUUAAUUUUAUUAACCCUGGACGCUUUUCUUUUUAUUCUUCUCUGACAAACAAGGGCCAUAAUUGCUCAAGUAUGUAUUUGGUGUUUUUUAUUUCUUGGUGACUAUAGUUUGAGGACUUGAUGUUUUGCAAAUUGUUUCAGGAAAGGAACAGGAAUGUUAGCAGUUGAUUUCAGAUAGUUUAAACUUGGGUUUUUAAAUACUUCUCUGUAAAACUGCACUACCACUGUAGGACCAGAAUUUAGUUUUAUUUAAAGAGAUGGGUUAUGGGAGAUGUUCGCUCAAAUUUUACUGUGACUUACACAAUUAAAUUGUUGCAACUGUCCUCUUUUUUUUUUUUUUAAUUCUGCUAGAUCCAGAGUAAGAAUUGAAGAGCACAGAAGGGAAAUGUCAGACUUACAGGAGAAAAUUAUUUCUUUAAAAAUGUAACAGUCAGAUACAAUACCAAAACCGUGUUCCAUAAAAGAAAAAGAAAUGGAUAAAUCUGACUUUAUCAAAAUUGAAAAUGCAGCAACAGUGCUCUUUGAAACUCUAAAAUACACUAAAAUAAAUUAUCCUCUAGGAAAGUUUGUGGGAAUUUUUUUAUUGGGAGAAAGUAGGUCAGGAUCUUCUGUCAGUAAAGCUCCGUGGCAGAAAUUCUUGCCAAUAUGGCGAUCGGUGAGGAAAGAAGCCCCUCUCUUGGGCAAGGAGAGGGUCAGAAGAAAGAAUGGUCUGUACCAGGUCUGGAUGCUGGGACUUGAAAAAGUAUCAGAGGUUGGAUGCUUUUGUUUUCUUGUAAAAGUGAUCAGAGAGAUGUGACAUAAUACAAAAGGUAUCAUGUGAGUUCUGUGGGCUUAGUGCUAAUGCCAGUAUCCCUAGUGUUGUGUGGAGUAUUUGUUCAACCAGAGGUGGUUCAAGACAGUCAGGGUAGCAGCAUGUGCAGCCAACAGCAGUAAAGGUGCUAAUACAUGUCCAGUGAUGUCAGGAGUUACGAGACAGCAGUUUCAAAACACUGCAGUAAACAAGGUCAUAGUGUCCCGUUUUGCUGGAAGAAGGUUUGUUUUUAUGAGCUGGACAGUACAUGGAUGAAGUAAUUUUUCAAAACAAACAUCAAAUUUAUAUGUUGGGUUUUUCUUCCUACUUUUUGGAUUUAAAAAAAAAUUAACCAGAUGAGAUUUAGUAAGGGUUACAUUUUUAAGCAGAAUUAUACUUUUUCCCUGUUUUGUUUUGUUUUUUUUAAUUGAUUCUCUGUAGUUUCCACAGAGGAGAUGAAAAUACUGCUGAUCUAGGAUUCUUAAAUGCAGUUUUAGAGAGCAAGGUAUGACCCAGCACACGGCAAAUGCCAAUCACCAUCACCAGUAAAACACUCCUUCUAAUUUUGUACCUUUCACACUUAUUUAGACAGGCAUCUACGUGCGAGAAAGUUAAUGGCGCAGAAUGCUGCUGACUGCAUGGUUCUCGUCUUAAUACAUUUUCCAACCUUGAACCUGAGAAUGCCAGAGGCUCAAGUCUCUGAAUGCUCGUCUGAGCUGUUAUCUGCUGGUGGCCUGGUUCCUGACCUAACAAGUGGGUGUCCCAGGCGUGCGUGUGGUAAUAGCAGCAGUGGUGCCACGUGGCGCCCAGAGGUCGCCUUGGUCUGCCCUGGAGAUUCCUGGCCCUUGGUGAAGCUUCUGAGUUGAACUGUGAACUUGGGGCAUCCUGAGAAGCGCAGGCAUUUUGGAGUUCCACAGCAAACCUGGAUGUUAAGUGUAAACACAGCUUAUAAAGUGAAAGCAGGGGCCUUGAGGAAGGGAAUUACCCUCAUCUCGUUCUGGACCUGCUUACUGUGCUGGAAAACAAACUCUGCGGAGAAUACAUUUGCAUGUGACACGAGUAAAAAUCUGCCUCGAGUAGUAGUUUUCAGGGCGGCUUUACUUAACACGCACCACAGCCUGGCGUGGCGGGCGGGCGUGCUGAUGGAAGGCUCCGAGCAGAGUGAUCAAGGUGAGGCUCCCUGGCUCUGAACCCUGGCUCCACCACCUGCCGACUGUGUGACCGUGGUCAAACCCGUAAAGCCCCUGAGGCUGUGUCCUUAUCUGUAGGAUGGGAAUAAUCAAAAGAACUGAGCUUGUAGGGUUGCUGUGAGGAUCGAAUGAGUAGAUCCGUGGAGGUGCCUAAACCGGCCCUUGUAGUCAGGUUGCUGUCACCAUGGACAAACUGGCUGAAAGAGGCUGGGUGAUCUGGACCAGAGCAAAGCAUCACCGGGGGAAAGAGGCGGAACCCCACGCGAGGCCUCCUGACUUCCCGCGUUGGGUCUGGUGCCCUUCCUGUGUGAGGCCACACCCCAACGUUUCUAUAAAAGGGCCACUAAAGAGUGCACUCCUUUCCGUUGUUUAAAAGGAAACUUUGAGCAAACGUUAGCUGUGAAGAACAUUUGUGACAGGGUUUUGUUUUGUUUGGGGGGGAUGGGGGGACAAUGGGCCCAGAGGUCUGGAGAGCAAACACUGAUUCUGUGAACUUGGACUUGCAGGAUGUCCACAGCGUAGCAAAUUAGAGCAGGACCUGGACAGUUCCUGUAGCUUAAUCACAUUCUGAAUACCCACCUUUAGAAAUAGUCCCCUCAGCCUCCCCCACUUACAGGAGUUCCUAGAGGGCAACAGCUUCUCGGCAGCAGCCACGUGGGUUGGGUUCAUAUUCUCCAUACUGUCCCCGCAUGUAUUUUUAUGAUCUUUAUUCUGUUUUGUUCUACUUUUCCUUUCUCUUUUUGAAACCUCUGCAUUGGCCACCCAGGACUUAAGAGGAACUUUCAUAAGGCACAGUCUGAAACAGGAACAAACUGCACAGAAGCUUUGAGAACUUGGAGCAUGUGUAUGAACGUGACACAGUGGGAGGGGAAAUUAGAUAUUCUAACAUUUGAGGAAGUGUCUGGCCUCUAAUCAUUCACCAAGCUCAGUAUCAAUAGGAGUUUUUUUUUGUUUGUUUUUUGUUGUUUUUUUUUUGCGGUACGCGGGCCUCUCACUGUUGUGGCCUCUCCCGUUGCGGAGCACAGGCUCCGGACGCGCAGGCUCAGCAGCCAUGGCUCACGGGCGCAGCCGCUCCGCGGCAUGUGGGAUCUUCCCAGACCGGGGCACGAACCCGCGUCCCCUGCAUCAGCAGGCGGACUCUCAACCACUGCGCCACCAGGGAAGCCCUCAAUAGGAGUUUUUUAAGCUGUAGAUAUUUAAAACUGCACUCCCUCUAGGGUUCCUGUUCUUUAGACAUCAUACAGAGAGGUCCUCUUUACAUUGAGCAAGUUCAUGAUGAGGUCUUGGGAGUGAGGCCAGAGGGAUGACUGUUGUGUAGUAUUGUUGGUUUGAAUCAAAUCCUUAAGGACAUUUAUUGGUGCUGUUUUUUACUCAUCCUCAAUUUGAAGGUUAUAUUCACACCGUGCAUAUGGUUUCCAUACUCUUCUUUUUAAAGUAUCAGUUUUGGUAAAAUUGUGAAAACAUUUCACAUUCGUGAAAAUUUCCUUCCAGAGUAUAAAACGCAGACGGUUUUAUUAAAAUUUUUCACAUGUAUUCUUUAUGUUUAUCUUGAGUGUUCAAAAAUGAGAAAUACAGGAGCUGGGGUAGAAGGUAUCACCACAUUAGAAAUUGAGGGCUGAGCGGUGCCAUGUAACAAAUAACGUGAACACAUUGGAUCUGUUUGUUUUUAUUCUUCAGUCCCAUUAAGUGGAAGCUCGUGUUUUUCUCUUUCUGCCUGCAUGAACUCCUCUGCUCCCGUACCCCACCAUUCCCACCCAAGAUAGAAGCACAUAAACAGCCUGAAAAUAAAGGACAGGUUUUUUUUUUAAGCUCCUCAUUUAGCAAAAUGUCUACAAGUCUCUUCAGAAAAUGAGCUGUGUCACGCUGAUGCUCCUUAAGAUGGGAUAAAAGGAAUUUUUCUUAGUUUGCCCAGUUAUCAAGAAAUUCUACUCUUCUCUAAGUGAUCAGGUUUGGUUAAAGCCAAGAGAAAUACAGAAGGUCACAUCUUAGCCCUUCGUGGUCAGUUUUCAAGGGGUGCUUUGGUGCGAAAAUCACGUGGUCACUGUUAAUGUGAGGGGGUGUUAGAAAUAGGUGUUUUUCUGCCCCCAUCACAGACAAAUCUGAAAAUGUUCCCUCUUCUCCCAAACCCCGGGGAUGGCACUCAGAGGCUGUGUCUUCAGUGUCUCAGCACCCAGUGGGGAAGGUGAUUUCCAUAUUUGAAAUGUAGGGACAAACGAAAAUAGCUCUUUUUCCUUGAAGGGUUAAUGUUCUAAACAGCUUCAGAUUGGUUCACUUGAAUCUUAAAAUUACUUUUCUGGUCACGCGCACUGAAGGUCUAAGCGUUUGUGAAAUGUCUUUUUUUUUUCUUUCUCCUGAUGCUGUUCUCUCUUGGCUGUCUUAAUUACACAGGGGUUGAAAAACCAAAUUAAAAUUAGGCGUGGCUGGUAAACAGCGAUCGCGUUGCAUGCUUUUAGCUUUGAAUGCUCGUUGGAGUUACUUCUCCUCCCUGUAUUGCUUUCCUCCCCACUUUUUUUUUUUUCCAAAGGAAAUAUCAUAAGCUCUUUUAGAAGUACUCACAGGAAGUGAGUAUCCGUAUGCUGGUUACUCGCCAGCAACUGAGCGUUGACAGGUUGACAGUGCUGCUGCCCUCCUCCCAGAUUUAUUUGAACCUUUCUGCCAGAGCCCGGGAAUAUUCAGGGUGUACAGACCAAAGGGUUUUUGUGUACUGAGGGAGUUAGAAGAGGAAAUUGGUCAUCGCGCGUCAUCUUGGUGGAUGGUGAUUCAGGGAGCUGUGACGGGGGGUCAGCGAGGCACGUGGCUGCCGCCGUUUCUGAGGUUUCUGCUCACUUCUCAGAGGGCGGGCUGUCUUCUAAAAAUUAGUGCUCCCUCCGCCGCCAAAGACGAUUCUUUUGCAAUGAAUCACUUCCAGAAAUGAAUAGCCACAGUGUUUUGGAAUGAAGGUUGUGAAAUCCCUCGUUCAUAAUGGCAGGUUUUCAGUUGGUGGUUUUAUCAGAGAGAAUUUCUCAAGAUCAAAACGAAACUUCCUCUUUAAAAGGAAAGAAAGUACUCUCAAUACAGAAAGCAAAAGUAUUUCCAGUCUCCUCCUGACGCACUGUCACAGAAGAUCUCUGUACUUGUAUUUAGAGAUACACAUCCAUAUCCUUGCCUGAACGUGUGAGUCCUUGGAAUUACGGAUUCAUUGCCGGUAGCUGGUGAUUUCCUACGCAGAAGGUCGCUAACUACAAGAAAUGUUACGUGCGGUUCCAGUGCCUCUCUCAGAAGAUCCCUGAGGCCCGCUUCUCUGCCCUGGACCGCGUCUCUGCCCGUGUUCCUCUCUUUUCCUCAUCCAUUCAUCUGCUGACACCUGUGCAUUCUUAGGAGUCGUCUCAGGUGCUGGUCUUCUGAACAAAUGCCCCCUGAGGAAGUCUGUGCCUGGAAAAUAUCUGUCUACAGAUUUCUUUGACACCCUGUGUAAGUAGAGGCUUGUGCUCAAAACUCAGUCUCACGGGAGCUUUGUUUUAUUUUGUUCCUGGAGGAUCCCCCAGUAAGUUUUUUUUUAGGCGGUCAUCAGUGUUUGAUCUCGGUUUUUUUUCUCUAAAACACUCAACUUCCAAUUUACUAUCAGAAAAAGUCUGUAACACGAACUUCUGCUCAAAAUCAAGGGUAUGGAUCCCAUAUUCAGGUCUCACAAUGGGAAGAGGAGAAGGCAGAAAAUACUAAAACCACUCACUUUGGUCCAUUCCGUUGGAGAUGCCAUUUGUAGAUCUGAGGGCAUCUUUGCAGGGUUUAGUAUUCAUCAGACUCCUCUGUGGUUAGCGACUGUGGAAUGUGCCCCGUACAGCUCAGGGUGUGGGCGCGGGAUCCGGGAGCCCUUCCGUUUGGGAGCCGUGACAGAUCUCUUAGCCACAUCUCUGCUUAUAACAGGCUGAAGGAAAACCGAUAUCUUAUUUUUAUCAUUGUAACCGUCAUUUAUUGAAUGUGUACAUGUGCUAUUUCUAGUUCCACUUGCUUCUCCUUCUCUGUCUUAAUUCUCACAACAACCUUACGUGGUAGGUCUUGUUAUUACCCUGAUUUCACAGAUGAGGAGACCGAGGCACAGAGAGUCAAGUAACUUCCCCCAGUCUGUGCGGGGAGCGAGUUCCAGAACUUGAUGUUCCAGCCCCAGAAGUCUGCGUUGGACCAUUCCACCAAACUGCCCCAUAGAAACGGGCAGCUUUGGAGGACGAGCUGGCGGGCUGUAUUUGGAGACGGUGUUUUAGCACUGCCACGAUCCCAUGCAGGAGGGGGCUGCUGGACUUACAAAGGCUUGAGCUUGCUUAAGACUAGUAGGAGAACAAGGCUUUAGAGACGAUGUGACUUGCUUAUGGUCACGCCGCCAAGUCAGAGUGUGGCGGAGGGUCUGGGGCCAAAUCCUACCGGUUUCCAAGUUUUCUCCUUCCUCUUGGUUGUUAGGUGCCGCUUCUGAUGUUCGAGACCAAAGCUGGUUUCAGUGGUUUGCUCACGUGCUUAUUGACGAAGCCCUGCACCUCAGAGCCCGUUUAUGUUCAGAGGUCCACAUGGCCAUGUGAAGAUUGGCCGUUACAGUAUCUAUAAAGCACCAAGCAGCAAAGAAUGGUGAGUAAGAGCCUGGGCCUGGAAUCAAGCGGAGUGGAGUCUGAAUCCUGGUCUUGCCAUUCCUAAACUUUGUGACCAAGAGCAAGUGCUGUACCCUCGCUAUGUCUCUGUUCCUUCACCUGAAAAAUGGAAGUAACGCCACUAGCCUUGUAGGUGGUUGUGAAUGAUGAGAAAAUGCAUAGAAGGCACGUAGCACAGUGUCUGGCACAGAGUAAGUCUUCCAAAAAUGGAAGCUGUUAUUAUUUAUCAGAGUACCUUCCCAUCCGCUCCGCAGUUCAUGUCGGCCUUCACUCUGAAACGGCACUGCAGCGUCCUGAUCCAUCUAAUAAAACAAUGUUUGUGUGUAGUGCUUUUUUAAAAAUUACAGUUGUUGCCGUACACGGAAUUCCAUAUGCCUCUAAGAACCAGUGCAGGAUAGGAAUUUGUAUCUCCGUUCUCUAGAUCGGCAUGCUGAGGCUCGGCAAAAUUAAAUGAUUGCCCAAGAUCCCACAGCUAGUCAGCAGCACAGCCAGAACUUCAGCUUGGAGCCAGAACUCCAGAUCCUGCGCUACUUAUUUAUCUGCUUCCUGUAAGAAAGUAUUCAUUAAAGGCACGUAAGUCAACAGAGAACUAACUCCCCACCGUACGAUCCAGCACCUUCCAACCGAUAACAGUUGCAUCUUUAGUCUGGCCUGGAUAUUUGGGUUAGGACUCUUGUAUCCUGAAGUCUGUAACGUUCUGAAGCUACCUUCUUUAGAGACGCGUCAUAGUCAGAUACUGUCUCCUUAUGAAAUAUCCUCACGCCCCAGGGGACGUUAUCUUAAUCCAGUUUGCUCGUGCAAGAACAGACUGGCAUUUCACUUCAAGGAAAGACAACGUGUUUCCACUGUUCCGCUUUUGCCACACAGGAGUUACCGGUGUGGCUUAUUGAUUCACAUUUCAGGCUCUAACUUUCCUAUCAGAUCUGGAAGAAAAAAAAAAAAACAAAGAAUGGCAGCUUGCUCCAGAACAGCAUGAAGUAAGGAAUCGCAGGUGGGAUUUUGAAAUAGAAACACAUUCUUGUAGCCCCUGUGCUGAGAGACACCAAGGAGGGAUUUUGUUCUUGAAAGGUGAGCACUUUAAUGUGGAGGUGGAGAGUUUAACAAUGUUAAGUGUGUGUUCUGUGUGUAAGAAAGAGUUGUUAAAAAAUAACAUUCCUUUCAAACGAUGCAGUACCUUAAAACUGUCAAUGGUUAAAAUAGAGACACCCUGAGUUACAGAAGUUCAGCCCUGCCGUCUCCUGCCCUGAAAAUACAGAACAAUCAGGUUGAUUGUUGGAGGUUGGAGGAUGGGGAGGAGUGGAAACAUGCUGAUGUUUACUGAGUAAGAUCUUUCCUUGCAGUUGACUGUCACUGAAAGACUCAACAAAGUAAGCAGAGGGCUCCCCUGGUGGCGCAGUGGUUGAGAGUACGCCUGCCGAUGUGGGGGACGCGGGUUCGUGCCCCCGUCUGGGAAGAUCCCACAUGCCGCGGAGCGGCUGGGCCCGUGAGCCAUGGCCGCUGAGCCUGCGCGUCCGGAGCCUGUGCUCCGCAACGGGAAAAGUAAGCAGAUACCACGUGCUGUCAUCCUGUUUACCUAUGUAAGUCCUGGAAAGAGAAUGAACGAGCCCCUGUUAAUUUAUCAACUGUUUUUUUCUUUUUCACUUCCCUACUAAUGAACAAUGGGAUUUUUUUUCUCUGUGUUAAUUUGAUAGCCAGUCUGCCCACGCAGACCGCUUUGCAGGAAACCGACCUCUUGCUGGACGAUUAAACACAAACAGAGGCCCAACUCAAGAUCUCUACUUCACUGUAUUUUGUUUAAGUCAUUUCACAGUCACCAACUAAAUACCUCAGUUUCCCCCCAAGGGCUUACAGACUUCAGAGAAGUAUACUACGUGACUGAUCCCUGUGCUAGUAAUUACUCUUUGUCUGCUGAAAAUGCCUCCUCGUGUGAAGAGACAUACAUGGGAAAGAAUAUAUCCACCUUCGUUCUUCUGAAUUUUUUGAAAAACAUACUUAAAGGAUAAUACAGAAAACUUACCAUAUCUCUUUGUUUCUGCUCAGUUAGUGAGCUACUUGGAUGAAGUUAGUGAUUGCUACCCAGCAAUGAUUGCUGCUGCAGCCCAUAGUGUGCUAUUUCCUUAUUUAAAGAGAUGGAAAAACCAGCCUAGUAGUGGUAGGCACGUGCAGUGAUGCUUUUUCAUUGUGAAGGAUGAGUCUGCGUUGGGAUCUCCUAUUGAGGGGUUGUCUUAUUUAUUCACUCUGAAGGAAGAACAGAUCCUAAAGCUUCUUCAGGAAGCUGGUUUCACAUGGUGGUUUAGAUUUAAAUAGUGAUUGUCUAGCACCAUUUGAAAUCAGUGUUCUUGGGGGAGACCAGCUGCGCUGCCAGCGGCAAAAGGAACGAAUGGGACCAGCCCUGAAGACUUUGAAAGCAAAGACCAGCCGGUGAGGGGAGCCCACCUGGCGCUGCCGCUGCAGCUGAUCCAUCCUCCCCGCCGUCACCCCACCCCCCACCCCGCCCAGCUCCCUGCCGCCAGCGGUGAGCAGUGCUGUUACAAACAACAGGUUAAUUAUGCGACGUCUCACUGCUAGAACUUCACACUCAUUUGUACAAUAAACCUUCUGUAGUAUUUUUCCUGUAA